rnacentral:rRNA from 1 species
CAGUCGCCACGGUAAUACGAAGGGUGCAAGCGUUACUCGGAAUUACUGGGCGUAAAGCGUGCGUAGGUGGUGGUUUAAGUCCGUUGUGAAAGCCCUGGGCUCAACCUGGGAAUGGCAGUGGAUACUGGCUCGCUAGAGUGUGUCAGAGGAUGGUGGAAUUCCCGGUGUAGCGGUGAAAUGCGUAGAGAUCGGGAGGAACAUCAGUGGCGAAGGCGGCCAUCUGGGACAACACUGACGCUGAGGCACGAAAGCGUGGGGAGCAAACAGGAUUAGAUACCCCUGUAGUCCCUGUCUCUUAUAC